AACGGCCAUACCGUGCUGAAUAUACCGGUUCUCGUUCGAUCACCGAAGUCAAGCAUCAUUGGGCGCGGUCAGUACUUGGGUGGGUGACCACCUGGGAACACCGCGUGCCGUU
rnacentral:rRNA from 1 species